rnacentral:rRNA from 1 species
GGCCUAACACAUGCAAGUCGAACGAUGACCCAGAGCUUGCUCUGGUGAUUAGUGGCGAACGGGUGAGUAACACGUGAGUAACCUGCCCUUGACUCUGGGAUAAGCACUGGAAACGGUGUCUAAUACCGGAUACGACCUUCAGCCGCAUGGCUAGGGGGUGGAAAGAAUUUCGGUCAAGGAUGGACUCGCGGCCUAUCAGCUAGUUGGUGAGGUAAUGGCUCACCAAGGCGACGACGGGUAGCCGGCCUGAGAGGGUGACCGGCCACACUGGGACUGAGACACGGCCCAGACUCCUACGGGAGGCAGCAGUGGGGAAUAUUGCACAAUGGGCGCAAGCCUGAUGCAGCAACGCCGCGUGAGGGACGACGGCCUUCGGGUUGUAAACCUCUUUUAGUAGGGAAGAAGCGAAAGUGACGGUACCUGCAGAAAAAGCACCGGCUAACUACGUGCCAGCAGCCGCGGUAAUACGUAGGGUGCAAGCGUUAUCCGGAAUUAUUGGGCGUAAAGAGCUCGUAGGCGGUUUGUCGCGUCUGCUGUGAAAACUGGAGGCUCAACCUCCAGCCUGCAGUGGGUACGGGCAGACUAGAGUGCGGUAGGGGAGAUUGGAAUUCCUGGUGUAGCGGUGGAAUGCGCAGAUAUCAGGAGGAACACCGAUGGCGAAGGCAGAUCUCUGGGCCGUAACUGACGCUGAGGAGCGAAAGCAUGGGGAGCGAACAGGAUUAGAUACCCUGGUAGUCCAUGCCGUANACGUUAGGAACUAGAUGUAGGGGCCAUUCCACGGUUUCUGUGUCGCAGCUAACGCAUUAAGUUCCCCGCCUGGGG